GGGGGCUGUCGUGUUAUCGCUGCUAACGAUGAUUUGAACUCAAGGCUGUGUUCGGUUCUCU
rnacentral:tRNA from 1 species